rnacentral:snRNA from 1 species
GUGCUCGCUUCGGCAGCACGUAUACUAAAACUGGAACUAUACAGAGAAGAUUAGCAUGGCCCCUGUGCAAGGAUGACACGCAAAUUCGUGAAGCGUUCCAUAUUUUU